rnacentral:sRNA from 1 species
CGAGAGAACGUUGCGCCAGCAACGGCCCGCAGGGCGAGCCACGCAGUGGCGAGUCAUCCUCUAUCACCGACCA